ACACUUGAGUCGCCUACUCCCCUCCUACAGGAUUUGACGUAGAGCGCGCAUCGUGGACCCCAAAGCCUCCGGCAUCACCUCGCAUCUCCGCGAGCCCCUGAUAGCAGAUUCCGUGCUUCAUCAAAAAGCACUGACAGAUGGGUAAAGAGGUGUGGGCGUCGCCAAUUAAGAAAUGGCAACCUUCAUGUGGAGGUUAAGGUGGAUCGAGAAAGUUGGGGACGAGAGACAAACUACAGACAAGAGGGAUGAAAAUAAAAGACGAAUGUUCGAUGUGAGGAAACGAUGAGGAAACAAUUGAUCACAUAUUAAAUUUUACACCUUCUUGAGUUCCCAGAAUGGUACUGGCUGGAUGUAAGGUAAGAUCUAGUCGAUUGAGCACACCGAAGUGAAACUACAAGAAGGGAAAAAAAAUCAAGGCUAACUAAACUAACUGUUUUAAACGUUUGUUACACUACAAGAAAACAGACAUUUAACGACGGAUUUUGACCGUCCCUAAAUUUGAAGAAGGAUUUUGUGAAAAAUCAGCGAUACUAGCGACGGAUUAGGAACGGCUUGUAAAUGCCCUCCCUAAUUUUGACUUUUUUUAGAGUUGGCGAUGGUUGUUUCAUGAAUAAUCGCUAACUACGAUAAUUAACGAUGGGUUUUUAAUAAGCCGUCUUUAAUUUUUGAUUUUUUAAAAAUUAC
rnacentral:lncRNA from 1 species